CCUACGGGAGGCAGCAGUGGGGGAUAUUGCACAAUGGGGGGAACCCUGAUGCAGCGACGCCGCGUGGGUGAAGAAGCGCCUCGGCGCGUAAAGCCCUGUCAGUAGGGAAGAAAAUGACGGUACCUGAAGAAGAAGCCCCGGCUAACUACGUGCCAGCAGCCGCGGUAAUACGUAGGGGGCAAGCGUUAUCCGGAUUUACUGGGUGUAAAGGGGGCGCAGACGGCGAUGCAAGCCAGGAGUGAAAGCCCGGGCCCAACCCCGGGACUGCUCUUGGAACUGCGUGGCUGGAGUGCAGGAGGGGCAGGCGGAAUUCCUGGUGUAGCGGUGAAAUGCGUAGAUAUCAGGAGGAACACCGGUGGCGAAGGCGGCCUGCUGGACUGCAACUGACGUUGAGGCCCGAAAGCGUGGGGAGCAAACAGGAUUAGAUACCCCAGUAGUC
rnacentral:rRNA from 1 species